UACAGAGGGUGCAAGCGUUGUUCGGAAUUAUUGGGCGUAAAGGGCGCGUAGGCGGCUUGAUGUGUCAAAGGUGAAAUCCCUCGGCUCAACUGAGGAACUGCCUUUGAAACUGUCUGGCUUGAGGCCGGGAGAGGGUAGCGGAAUUCCCAGUGUAGCGGUGAAAUGCGUAGAUACUGGGAGGAACACCGGUGGCGAAGGCGGCUACCUGGACCGGUUCUGACGCUGAUGCGCGAAAGCGUGGGUAGCAAACAGG
rnacentral:rRNA from 1 species